AUCAUUUAUUGGUUGGGACCUACUUUCAAUACAUGGACGUCAACAAGAAAGAUUGUUAAACAAUAGUUCAUAGAACGAAAUAAAUACGGCAGAAAUGAAAUUAAUUAGUGUUUAUAUGAGGUAUCUAGGGAGGAAUGUGUUAAUGACGAUUUUCGGCCAGUGAUGAUAGAAAGCGUACCAAUGGGAUUGAUGAGAAGAACCAGGCCAACUCAUCAACAGCAGCAAUCAUUGGUGUCAAUGUCGUGGAAAGCGUCGUAGACUUCAAUUGUACAGCAGCGAACGUAAAUGCAUCAGGACGAAUUCGAAUGCUUCCAGAACCCAAUCUUCCAGAACCUACAUGUCGUUUUUCAACGGCACCUACGAUGGAAACUACUGGACAAACCACAUCAUAACAGUUUGAGUAAUCGUUUGGUGUAGCUAACUUCUUCAGUACGCAUGCGUCUUAUUGUAUAUAUGUUUGGUCAUUAGAAAAAUAAUACAAACCAAGUUAAGCGAUCAACAUUGUUUUGUUAAACAAUAGUUGUGCAAUAGCACAACGGAAAUAUUGUUCUAUCCUUUUUUUACUAUGAAGUUAAUUAAACAUGGACCCAGCGGUAACGCAAGUAACGCCAAACAAACACGGCAUACAAAAACAGUUACAGAAUUUAGUUGGUUAUACAUCAGUAUGAAUAUUUUUACAGUGAUAAACAUAACACAUCUGAAUGCUAUUCUCGACAUAUGUGCAUGUAUCUGGUCAAUUACUGUUUUGUUAUGCAAUACCAUAAGAACUUCUAUAUUUGCUUUAACUAAUUUAAUUCUUCAUUUCUUAAAAUUUGUUUCAUAUUCAUUAACAGACAAAAACACCAUUUUUGAAAAAGGCUUAUUUUGAAAGAGAAAUAUACAUUAUGUUAUUUGGUAUGCAUGUUUCUUGUAUGCAAUGUUCAAAAGUAUUUAUUUUUGUCCGUAGUAUUCGCAUAUACAUGUAUUUAUUGUACGCUGUUUUGCUGUUUACAUGAAACAUAUUUUUUGUAAGGCAGAAUUUAACGUUUUGACAUUACAUUUGUUAUUAAAGGGAAUUAACUAGAAUAUAGAAAAAUAUCCAAAUUCGCUCAUUCGCCUAACGCACUACAAUCGCUAUUUAAAAAUUUGGAAAAUUACUGCAACGAGUGGAAACUUACAGUUAAUACAAAAAAGACAAAAAUAAUGAUUUUUGAGAAAGGUAGACAUACACGAUAUGAUUUUACAUUAAAUAACACAAUAUUAGAUAUUGUCGAUUCAUUUAAAUAUUAAGGGGUAAAUCUUUACAAAAACGGAGACUGGAACCGUACGCAAAAACAUAUCGCUCAAAAUUCACAAUUCGCAUAACACAAUUUGUUUACAGUAUUUAAUCAACUGGAAUUAACUAUAAACGAAAAGUGUAGACUGAUUGACAAUCUAGAUGGGUCCAAAUUAAAUUACGCAGCCGAAACAUGGGGCUUUCAUGAAGGAAAAGAUAUCGAACGCAUUCAUUGUAAAUUUCUUCGUAAGAUACUUAAAGACAGAAAAUCCACACACCUAGAAGGACUUUACGGGGAACUAGGCAGAUAUCCAAUGUAUGUAAAACACCAAUUGACAUAAGUUAAAUACUGGGUAAAAAUCAUUGCUCCGAACAACAACAUACUUACAAAAUCUAUUUAUAAUUUGCUUAAGAGCGAUUCUGAACGUAAUAAUACAUAUACCGGCAAGAACUGGGCUUAUCAGAUUAAAGAACUACUCGAACACAUUGGAUUAGCUAUCAUAUGGACUCAACAACAUACGAAUACCCCAAACGAAUACGAGCUAAACAUAAUAACAAAUCGAAUUUUGGAUAUAUAUAUAUAUACAGACUUGGUUCUAAAAUAUAAACAACUCAAAUUAACUGUCAGCAUACCGAUAUUUCAAUUAUGACUUUGAAACGGAAAAAUAUUUAAAAUGCAUUAAUAACAAAAAAAAUUAGAAUAUCGCUUACACAAUUCAGAAUCUCUGCACAUAAUCUAGCCAUAGAAAAAGGUCGUCAUGAAAACAUACCAAAAGAAAAUAGGAAGUGUAUUUACUUCAAUAUGAUUGCUAUAGAAAGCGAAUUUCACUUUUUAUUAGUAUGCCCCCUAUAUAAAGAAAUUAGACAACAAUACCUAAAACCAUGCUUUCGUAAUUGGCCAACAUUGAACAAAUACGAAAUUAUAAUGUCAUCAAAAUCAACAAAGGAACUUAAUAACCUAUCAAAAUAUGUUUAUUUUUCUCUCAAACUAAGGUAAAAUGUAACGUAGUAUAAAAUAUAUGCUGUUAACGCCUCCAUUUUUGUAUGUCUAUUAAAACAGAUACAAUAAUAAGUGAAUCGUAUUAACUAUGAUUAUUAUUUAUGUUUGCCUACUGUUUAAAAUAUUUAGGAGAUCGAAUGACUGUAUUGGAUAGAGUAAAAGUGAUCAACUUGUGCGAUUAUUUUAUAUUAUGUUGACUAUUUGUAAUGAAGAAGAUCACUUCUUUGUAUUAUUUUCAAAAUUUGAAAAUGUAAUUGCAUUGUUAUCAUUAUCAAUUAGAAUAUUCUAAAGGUAUUCGUUUUGUUUUUAUUAUCAAUUAGAAUAUUCAAUUUA